ACCAGGUGAAAACUGAGCACUGCCAAGCAAGCCCCAAGAAAACGUGCAGUCUCCACAGGAAGGUUUAUUAUUGGCGUCUGAGGAAGUGAGUCCUCUCCCCUAGACCUAUGCUGAGGAUCUGUGUGAAGCUGAGCUGUGCACGAUCUCCUUGCCACCAUGUGAGCUGUCACCUGAUUCAGAAAGGAUUUAAAAACAGCUUACAAAAUUGUAUUUAAAAGAAGUCAAUGUCAAAGACAGAGGACAGACUGGAAAAAAAAAACGGUUGUGCCCUACAUGACACGCAAAACGCUCAUAUCGUUGACCAGUAACACUCCGACAAAGUAAUGAGAGAAUGAACUACCCGAAGGGAAUGGGCAAAGGAAAAGAAUAUUCAAUACAAGAAGAAAUACGACGUGAGAUGAUA